rnacentral:rRNA from 1 species
CACGUAGGGAGCAAGCGUUGUCCGGAUUUAUUGGGCGUAAAGAGCUCGUAGGCUGUUCGAUAAGUCGGGUGUGAAACCUCCAGGCUCAACCUGGAGACGCCACCCGAUACUGUCAUGACUAGAGUCCGGUAGGGGAGCGUGGAAUUCCUGGUGUAGCGGUGAAAUGCGCAGAUAUCUGGAGGAACACCGGUGGCGAAGGCGGCAUCCUGGACCGGUAUUGACGCUGAGGCGCGAAAGCCAGGGGAGCAAACGGG